UUCCGGUUGAUCCUGCCGGACCCGACUGCUAUUUGGGUGAGAAUAAGCCAUGCGAGUUGAAUGGGAUACCUAAAGUUCCCAUAGCAAACUGCUCAGUAACACAUGAUCAACUUACCCUAUAGAGAAAAAUAACCUCGGGAAACUGAGGAUAAUGUUUCAUAAUUGAAUUGGCUUGGAAAAGUUUUUCAAUGAAAGGGAUAAAAAAAAUGGUUUUUAUCUGCUAUAGGAUAGGAUCGUGUUCGAUUAUGGUUGUUGGUGAGAUAAUGGCUCACCAAGCCGAUAAUCGAUAGGGGCCGUGAGAGCGGGAGCCCCGAGAUGGGUACUGAGACAACGACCCAGGCCUUACGAGGCGCAGCAGGCGCGGAACCUCCGCAAUACACGAAAGUGUGACGGGGUUACCCAAAGUGUUCAAUAGAACUGUGGUAGGUGAGCAAUGUCCCCUACUAGAAAGGAGAGGGCAAGGCUGGUGCCAGCCGCCGCGGUAAAACCAGCUCUUCAAGUGGUCGGGAUAAUUAUUGGGCUUAAAGUGUCCGUAGCCGGUUUAGUAAGUUCCUGGUAAAAUCGGGUAGCUUAACUAUCUGCAUGCUAGGAAUACUGCUAUACUAGAGGGCGGGAGAGGUCUGAGGUACUACAGGGGUAGGGGUGAAAUCUUAUAAUCCUUGUAGGACCACCAGUGGCGAAGGCGUCAGACUGGAACGCGCCUGACGGUGAGGGACGAAAGCCAGGGGAGCGAACCGGAUUAGAUACCCGGGUAGUCCUGGCCGUAAACGAUGCAUGCUAGGUGAUGGUACGGCCAUGAGCCGUAUCAGUGCCGUAGGGAAACCGUUAAGUGUGCCGCCUGGGAAGUACGGUCGCAAGGCUAAAACUUAAAGGAAUUGGCGGGGGAGCACCACAGGGUGAAGCCUGCGGUUCAAUUGGGAUUCACGCCGGGAAUCACUAGUGCGGCCGCC
rnacentral:rRNA from 1 species